rnacentral:rRNA from 1 species
ACGCCUAACACAUGCAGUCGAACGAAGUAGCAAUACUUAGUGGCAGACGGGUGAGUAACAUGUGGGUAUCUACCCUUUGGCCUGGAAUAACACGAGGAAACUUGUGCUAAUACCGGAUAAGUCUUUACGGAGAAAGCUUUAUGCACCAUUGGAUGAGCCCGCACUUGAUUAGUUUGUUGGUAGGGUAAUGGCCUACCAAGACUAUGAUCAAUAGCUGAUUUGAGAGGAUGAUCAGCCACAUUGGGACUGAGACACGGCCCAAACUCCUACGGGAGGCAGCAGUGGGGAAUCUUGCACAAUGGAGGAAACUCUGAUGCAGCGAUGCCGCGUGAGUGAAGAAGGCCUUUGGGUUGUAAAGCUCUUUCGUCGGGGAAGAAAAUGAC